UCCUCAGCAAACAAAAAAAUGCUAGUCUUAUACUACCUAUCACCCGCCCGAGUACUACAAGCGCUAGCUUCAAACCCAAAGGACUUGGCGGUACCCCAGACCCACCUAGAGGAGCCUGUUCUACAACCGAUAAUCCCCGUUAAACCUCACCACUUCUUGCCAUCAUACCGCCUAUAUACCGCCGUCGUCAGCUCACCCCAUGAGGGAACAAGAGUAAGCAAAAUGGGUCAACCUCCAAUACGUCAGGUCGAGGUGUAGCGAACGAAGUGGAAAGAAAUGGGCUACAUUUUCUAUUAAGAAAAAACGAACAGUACAAUGAAAAAUUACUUAAAGGUGGAUUUAGCAGUAAGAAAAUCUUAGAAUACUAUCCUGAAACCGGCUCUGGGGUGCGCACACACCGCCCGUUUCACCCAACAAAAAAGAAAAGGUCACCUCAACACGCGGCCAGUAACAAUCAGUCGCCUCAAGUCAGGGGUGGGGGGGGGGGGGAAAAUCCCCCCAC
rnacentral:rRNA from 1 species